UACGGAGGGCGCAAGCGUUGUCCGGAAUCACUGGGCGUAAAGGGCGCGUAGGCGGCCCGGUAAGUAGGGGGUGAAAUCCUGCGGCUUAACCGCAGGGCUGCCUUCUAAACUGUCGGGCUCGAGCACGGUAGAGGCAGAUGGAAUUCCCGGUGUAGCGGUGGAAUGCGUAGAGAUCGGGAAGAACAUCAGUGGCGAAGGCGGUCUGCUGGGCCGUUGCUGACGCUGAGGCGCGACAGCGUGGGGAGCAAACAGG
rnacentral:rRNA from 1 species